rnacentral:rRNA from 1 species
UACAGAGGGGGCAAGCGUUGUUCGGAAUUACUGGGCGUAAAGGGCUCGUAGGCGGCCAACUAAGUCGGACGUGAAAUCCCCAGGCUCAACCUGGGAACUGCGUCUGAUACUGGAUGGCUUGAAUCCGGGAGAGGGAUGCAGAAUUCCAGGUGUAGCGGUGAAAUGCGUAGAUAUCUGGAGGAAUACCGGUGGCGAAGGCGGCAUCCUGGACCGGCAUUGACGCUGAGGAGCGAAAGCCAGGGGAGCAAACGGGAUUAGAU